UGGUGAUGUGUUUGUAGAUCUUACUUUACUAAACAUUCUUGCUGCUUACAAUUAUCUCUAUCUAUAACAGUACUUUCUGUGGAAAAUGUUAUUGAAAAUCUUCAAAUUUUAAGAAAAUUGUUAAAAAUUGACUAUGAAGGGCAAUAACUCCUUAGGGGGUCAAUUGACUAUUUUGGUCAUACUGACUUAUUUUUAGUUCUUACUUUGCUGUACAUGAUUGCUGUUUACAGUUUAUCUCUAUCUAUAAU
rnacentral:lncRNA from 1 species